UUUGUUUUUUAUUACAACUAUUGACGGACGUUUCAUUGCAGGAUAUAUAUGAAGCUGAAAACAACCACAACAAUGGGGUAACUAACAUAAACCUCGCCGGUGACAAAGUGAUAGUCGCACGGUUGAGUGAACGAAUCGAUUUUCUGAGACUGGAAACGUACACGUAAGGUUUUCAGAUCGAUUGGGGAUUUACGUCUGCAUAUGGGCGAACCCACGUACGCAGCGGUUCGGCAGCUCAACAUCACGCAUCCGAGGAGGAGCUUCGAUGCAUCCUGGAGUUUCACCAGCAGGGUCACCGGUGACAUGUUUGGAAGUGGCGGGCGGUACAGUCAUUACUGGCAGCCAGGGCCACACUGUUAACGUGUUCCGGCUUGAUAGCCACCUAUUGCAGUUCACCCUAAACGGCCAUUGCGGUCCUAUCACAUGUAUUUUCAUAGACCAGUGGCAGGCCGAGAUAGGCGCAUCUGGUUGCCAGGAUGGUGUGCUAUGUGUGUGGGACUUGAUACGGGGUGCCUGUAUGUACAAAAUUGAAGCCCAUGACGACAUGACGUCGUACUUGCCUGUUCCCCGA